UAUCUCUUGGUUAUUGGAAGAGCAGCACUUUGGGGUUUGGGGGCCACUCGGGCCAUUAGCCCAGUACUAAGAGGUCUUCCGCCACAGCCCCCAUCAGCCGUGCCCCACGGGUGGCCACACGGCCGGGUGGGGAGCAGGGACCAAGCGCAAUAGACAACCGACAAGCGACAAGCGACAAACGACGCGAUCACGACACAGAUUAAGAAAUGUACCAAUAAGAAUUUUAAUGGCAUGUGCCACCGUUGCCCCCUAAUGUAUGUGUGUGCCACUCUUUGGUGCAUGCCACACUCACCUGCAUCUUGUUGAUGACCUUCCAGCCGUCCUCCACACCGCGGACGGGCAGGUACUUGGACUGCACCGGCAGCAGCAGCUGGUCCAGUAUCUCCAGGCUGCCCCGAGUGUAUUUGAUCGAUUGUAGACUCAUCUCGCUUCGUUUUGUACUAUAUAUGUUAUAUAUUUGUGUAUCUGGAAUGGGGAGUGGAUCAUUAGCCGAUGAUUACGAGCAGACUGGGAUGGGGUGUUCUAUGGGCUGUGGACAACCCACAUUUAUCGAUGCGUCGCGCGUCACAAUAUUCUAAUGGAGCAGUGGCCCGAGAAUUAAUGGGAAUCGAGCAGUUAUUAAUCGAACGGGACCGCCUACGUCCGUGAAUUGCGACGUCUGCCAGGCAAACGGAUCAGUGAGCAACUGAAUGCGAGGCGACGGGCGCUACCUACGGCCCCCCAUUCAGGGGGCGUCAAAAGAGAGAGCGUGUACGACUGAGGAAGAGGCAACAGCAGCGGCAGCGCCAUCGACGAUUAAUUCAUCUUGGCAUAUUGGCUGCUACUGGCGCUGGCGCUGUUCUGGCUGUCGCUCUGCUUCCGUCGCUGCUGCCGCUGCGUUGCCAAUUGAUAAAGGCUUUGCUUUGAUCGAAUUAGCUCCGCUGCAGCUGCCUCUGGCUCUGUCGACGCUGAAAUUUCUUGAUGACAAUUCAUAAUGAAAUGCGCGAAAUCGCGUAGAUCAUCAGAGCAAAUGUUAUUAAGCAACACCGAAUGAUUCGGGCCGGUAAUUAAUGCUUCUGCAAUUUGUUGGGCUGCUCUGCUCUGCUCUGCGUUUGUGACAUGACAGGAUGUUUGCCUUGGUCCAGUGCCAAGAACUUGUGUAAAACUUGUUAAUUUGGCCAAUACGCUGUCGGCAGUUUAUCAUGUAGCUGUCUGCCGCAUGCAACAGAUGGUUGCCGCUAAUCGUAACCUCACACACACCACAGGCCAGCAGGCACUGAGAGAGAGAAGAAAAGGUGCCCGCUCAGGUAAAUUUUGGUUAUGAAACAAUCCAAUUAGAGCAAUUGUCUUCACUUUUGGCUCUUUUGCGGAGCAAAACUCACCUGUUGGCCACCAAUUGAGUAUCAGUACAUCGGUGUUUUUGCUUAAAUAAUUAAUAAAUUCUAUGGCUUUUCGGUGUG